GAGAUCAGAAUAUUUAGUUUUAAAUUGUUAGUUCGUCGAGAUCGAACUCGAGUUCGAGUUCAAUAAAAAUAAGUUAAGACUCGAUUCGAUUAGGUCAAAACUCGAUUCGAUUCGAUUCGUUUGCAACUCUAGUUACAGUAUCACAGGCACUUUCUAGAUCUCACCCUUCUUUCAAAGUCGACUUGAAACUUGAAAGUUCAUCUAUGGCACGGGUGAAAGACUAAAAAUUGAUAAUGGGGUAAAAUACUAAAAAAUAAAUGUUAGAGGAAAAAAUUGAUAGUAGUGUUAUAGUUUAAGGAGGCAGAGUGAUAAUCACUUCUUUUUUUUUUUUUUUGGCUCAAUUGGAAACUCUGUCUGGUAUAGUAUCACAGGCACUUUCUGGAUCUAGCCCUUCUUUCAAAGUCGACUUGAAACUUGAAAGUUCAUCUAUGGCUCGGGUGAAAGACAUUCGGAAGAUGGAUGAGUGGUGAUUCUAUGGUUCUGGUUGCUUCUGCCUUGCAAAUUAGCUAGAGAAUUUGUCAUGCAAAAAGUAUUCAGUUGGCAAUAAUAAUUGUUAAUAUAUUUUCUUAGCAUUAAACUAGCGAAGCCCUUAUCUAUUUGUUGCGCGUUUGUUGAAAUUAAUGUUCUCAUUAACGUUUGAUCAGAUGCCCCAAUUAGUCAACUUCUAUUGUUAAAAAACCUAUUAAUUAGUUAAACUUUAUGCUAUUUAUUAAUUGAUGCAGGGUUCUUGUCUUCAGUUUCAUAAAAUGAUGAGGCAAAACUUUUAAUAGAAAUUCGCAUCUUAUUUUAUCAAGAAAACUUGGUUAAGUAUCAUUUGGUUGCCAUUUUGCUACUGCUAUUACAGAAUUUAGAUUUUGUGGUGGAGAUGCUUAGUUGGAAUGGCAAGCUCUAAUAGAUAUUGGACUCGUUCUGCUAUUAAAGGAUCAAGCUACAAGCGCAAGAGAGGCUUGAGCGAAGUGGUGAAUUCAGAUGUUAGGCUUAGUAAUUUGCCAGACUGGAUACCUUGUCACAUUCUGUCUUUUCUUCCAACAAAAGAAGUUAUGGCUACGAGCCUUUUAUCAAGACGAUGGGAAUUUCUCUGGACUGAAAUCUGUAGUUUUCAUUUUGAAGAUUUCAAUGAAUGUUAGAGCCGAAGUGACAUUUUUUUUGAAAAAAAAAAGAGCUUUGUGAAAUUUGUAGACAGGGUUUUGCUUCUCAGAAAUGUCAAAACAGCAAUAAGUUCUGUCUGAAGUGGAAAUAUUUCUGCGAAAGCAUCAAAGCGAGCAGAUGGGCCAACAUUGCAGUUGCUAGUAAUGUCCAAGUGCUUAAUGUCCUUCUUCAUUGUGCUUGUGAUAGCUGUUCUGAUUUAGGCUAUAAAUUGUGCCUAGGAGCCUCUUUACCUGUGAUACACUAGAAUUUCUAUAAUUGUCUGGUGAUAUUAUCAUUGAUGUUCCAAACAUCGUUUAUCUUCCUAGGUUUGUGAAUCUGAAUCUUGUUAGAGUUGCAUUCAAAUCGAAUGACUCUGUCCAGAACCUUAUAACUGGUUGUGCAGUUCUAAAGUUCUUGUCUAUUGCAAGAAAUACCUGGCAUGAUGCGGCUAUAAUCACAAUAUCAUCUCCUGUUUUGAAAAGACUAGAACUGAAACCUUAUGAAGAAAGUUUAGGUUUUUUUUCUCCUUAUGAUUUUGGCUAUAAAGACUCUAAGCUCGAGAUCAUUGCCUCUGUACUUGAGCACCUGUAUCUGCAAGAUUGCAAGAUUGUGCCGGUCAAGACUUUGUUUUAGGAAGCCUUACCUCCUUAGAAGAAGUAUAUGUUGAUGUUUCCUGCCACAGCCCCCCUGAAAUCAGUUAUUGGAAUUCAGUUGUUAAGCUACUUGAAACACUUCAUCAUGUGAAGUUUCUGAGGUUUUCAUAUGAUACCAGUAAGGCUCUUAAUGGAGCAACUAACCAUUUGUCGACAACGUUCAAGAGAUUAACCACACUGGUUGUAGAAGUUUAUUGCUCCAAGUGGAAAUUCCUGCCAAUGUUGCUUGAAAACUGUCAAUUUACAAGUUCUCCAACUUUGCAAGGUCUAAGGCUGUUGUAUAUGAAGAAACAAUGAAAAUUACCACUUGUAGAAGGAGUUGUUCUGUUGCACUUUCAACUUUUGGAGAAUGUAUUGAACAGCUAUUUUUGUUGUAACCAGCCAUGGUAUAUAUGUUGUCAAGAAACACAUAAUGGAUGCUGGAGGAUUCCUAGUUGCUUGUUAUUAAGUCUCAGAGAAAUGUUUGUCAGAGGAUUUACUGGCCUGGAAGAUGAACUUGCAAUGAUAAGGUAUGUUCUGAAGUAUGGGAGAGUCCUCAAAAAAUGGAGCUAGAUUCUGGUCUGCAUGCUGAUGACUUCAAGAAAAAUUUCCAGUUGCUUCAGAAGAUAUUAAUGUUCCCCAGAAAGUCAUUUACAUGUGUGAUUGCAUUUUCUUGAGGUGCAUAGAUGAGCUGAUUAUCACCUUUUUACUAAGAGGUGAUGUAACUAAAGUAGAAUUGAGUUUUUAAUUUCUACGUGUUAAGUUUUUUGAAGUUGUGUGUACAAAUACGUUUUAUGGUGCUGCUUACAGUUUUUAAGGGAUAGGAACCAUAUGACCCAAGUAGCUUGCUCUGAUUAUUUUGCGUAUGUGGAAUUAAUUGGUCCUUUUGUUUGAGCUUGC